rnacentral:rRNA from 1 species
UACGUAGGGUGCAAGCGUUAUCCGGAAUUAUUGGGCGUAAAGAGCUCGUAGGCGGUUUGUCGCGUCUGCUGUGAAAACUGGAGGCUCAACCUCCAACUUGCAGUGGGUACGGGCAGACUAGAGUGUGGUAGGGGAGACUGGAAUUCCUGGUGUAGCGGUGAAAUGCGCAGAUAUCAGGAGGAACACCGAUGGCGAAGGCAGGUCUCUGGGCCAUAACUGACGCUGAGAAGCGAAAAGCAUGGGGAGCGAACAGG